rnacentral:rRNA from 1 species
UACGUGGGGUGCAAGCGUUAAUCGGAAUUACUGGGCGUAAAGCGUGCGCAGGCGGUCUUGCAAGACAGAUGUGAAAUCCCCGGGCUUAACCUGGGAACUGCAUUUGUGACUGCAAGGCUGGAGUGCGGCAGAGGGGGAUGGAAUUCCGCGUGUAGCAGUGAAAUGCGUAGAUAUGCGGAGGAACACCGAUGGCGAAAGCAAUCCCCUGGGCCUGCACUGACGCUCAUGCACGAAAGCGUGGGGAGCAAACAGG